UCUUGUAUGUAAACUUCUGACUUCAACUGUAUCUACAGAAAAGACCGGAACAAGGAGUCACAUCCUUCACUCUUCAGCUGAUCUACGGCCUGGUCAUCUUGCCGGAGUACGCCCCUUUCUCUCACCCUGCCGUUGUGUACGUUGUACUGCAGGACGUUGUGUACGCUGUACUGCAGGACGUUGUGUACGCUGUACUGCAGGACGUUGUGUACGCUGUACUGCAGGACGUUGUGUACGCUGUACUGCAGGACGUUGUGUACGCUGUACUGCAGGACGUUGUGUACGCUGUACUGCAGGACGUUGUGUACGCUGUACUGCAGGACGUUGUGUACGCUGUACUGCAGGACGUUGGUAUGGAACUGUUUUCUGGACUAUGCACCCCUUAUAUUGACUGUUUCCUCUCGUUAACAAUGAUUGCCGUGAAUGCCAUAUUUGACUUGAAACCAUGUUUUCUUUUUUCCCAUGCAGUCUCUGCAAAAGUAUUAAGCUGUGUAUUUGGAACCUGUUCCCAAUUUGCCAGGGUCGUGUUUAUUAGGGCACACCAUAGAAAUCAAUGUUUUAUCGUGGACAAGUUCAAGUAGUGCCUCCCUGUUUUUGUGCUUUUAGUUCCACCAUCAGUCACUGGAAAAAGUUAUCCUGAUCCGUUAUCACUUUGAACUAUGGCAACCAGGAGCCCUUCGUGGUUGUGGUUGGGAAGCGGCUGCUGACCAAGGAGCUUGCUCAACAGUAUUUAAGAGGGUGACUCAAACAUCACUAUCACAGUGUGAUGACGCUCUCCCUGAACACAUUAAGCUAAAAUUCUAAAUGAAAUUGACUAAUGAAUGCUCAAACUGUUUCCCAGUCUGUUCACUCUUCAUUUAUCAGGAGCAGACUGGAUGUGACUGAAUCCCUACAACAUUACCAUCAAAUACUUCACCCUGGCUUGCAGCUUCAAAACUCUAACUGAGUGUUUCUCUAACGGGACGAUGGCUGCACUGGCGGUGAAGGUGGAGUAUGCUCCCAGUCUGAACCCUAGUCAGCUGAGCCUGAGUGACCCUGCCUGUGGCCCCACCUACAGCGAUGACCGCUUUGCCUACUUUCACUUCACUGUCAACUCGUGUGGCACCACCCGGAAGUCAUAGGCUCUGGAAGUAGGGGUGCUGCAGCACCCCCACCCCAAACAUCUUCCUGUGGCAGUACUACCAGUGAAGGCAUGUUUCCCUUAACCUAAUGAGGGAUGGUAGAAUACUUGACUGUCCUGCUGCUACGUGGUCAAUGUCACCGACACGCUUUCCUUCCUCACCAAUGAGACUGGGAACGGUCAGCUUAUAUUCAGAAUGAGACUCACUCAUGAUGCCUCGUUCCACCAGGAGGAGGACUACCCAGUGGUGACAUACCUAAGACAGCCUCUGUACUUUGAGGUGGAGCGUACCAGGUCCACUGACCCCAAGGUGGCGCUAUUGCUUGACCACUGCUGGGCCACGCUCAACAAGGACUGACUCACAAUCCAGAUGGAAUCUCAUUAAUGGGGCAAAGACCUCACAAAGACAUCUGAGGAGCAUCGCAUAUGUUUCAUCUGGACAGGUUCUUCGUGUGUAAAUGUCCUAAGGUGAGGAAAGUUCAAAUAAAGUGUUCGACAUUAUUUGGUUUGAUUCACUUGCACCUCAAUCUAUCAAUUGCUCUAAUUUGGCUUUUCAUCAGGCAUGGCAGUGUGAGUGGGUCAGAAACAGUAACUUAAAGAUUAAGGUAGCUUUAAUGCUCAUAUGGUUAUUUGCAUUCAACACCAAGGCAUAUACUUUAGUCAUCUGACAUGUAUAAAUCAACCCCUUUUGUAAUUCUGCAACUCGGAACCAGUUUUAAGCUGCAAACCAAUUUUCCAUCUGAGGUAAAAGUAACUUUAAAAUAAAUAUUUGGUAUAAAAGCAGAACAGACUUCCAGUGUAGUAGGAAGAACUGACUCAGUGUUCCAGCAUGUUGUUCCCCCAAAGUGAUGCCAGCAGGGUGGUGACGCUGAGCUCCAAGGCUGUGGAUGGAUGCGAGCUCUGACUGCAGCGGUGUUGGUCUUUCAAUUUUGGAAGUAAACCGAUUCCAAUUUCUCUUCUGAGGCAUGUAGAAUUGGCAUUUUGGUUUACUUCCUGAAUGAACUUUACCUUAUUUGACGGUCCAUGCAUUGAGUUUACUGAUGUUUAGGCUUUUAGUGCUGCUGAGUCCCAGGGUGAGACGGCGUGGAGUACUGGUAUCUAGCCCGAGGCAGCAUGUGAUGAGUCGGGUCAGUCAAUACACCAGUCAGUGCUGCAGCAAGACUGGACUCUGUUGGGAUACUCCCUGUGAGGUGUACACAGUAAGGGUGGUACUGCGGGAUAAGGUGAUCCUCUGUGCACAUGCUGUGACACUAUCCACUAACAGUUGUCAUGACGUUGGCCUGUGGGUAAGGUUUAUGACCCCCACCCCAUAAAUACCUUUCUCCCUUCCCUCUCUGACUCUACAGAGGAACUCUU